rnacentral:rRNA from 1 species
GACGAACGCUGGCGGCGUGCUUAACACAUGCAAGUCGAACGGAAAGGCCCUGCUUUUGUGGGGUGCUCGAGUGGCGAACGGGUGAGUAACACGUGAGUAACCUGCCCUUGACUUUGGGAUAACUUCAGGAAACUGGGGCUAAUACCGGAUAGGAGCUCCUGCUGCAUGGUGGGGGUUGGAAAGUUUCGGCGGUUGGGGAUGGACUCGCGGCUUAUCAGCUUGUUGGUGGGGUAGUGGCUUACCAAGGCUUUGACGGGUAGCCGGCCUGCGAGGGUGACCGGCCACAUUGGGACUGAGAUACGGCCGAGACUCCUACGGGAGGCAGCAGUGGGGAAUAUUGCACAAUGGGCGGAAGCCUGAUGCAGCAACGCCGCGUGCGGGAUGACGGCCUUCGGGUUGUAAACCGCUUUCGCCUGUGACGAAGCGUGAGUGACGGUAAUGGGUAAAGAAGCACCGGCUAACUACGUG